GUCGCAUGCUCCCGGCCGCCAUGGCGGCCGCGGGAAUUCGAUUAGAGUUUGAUCAUGGCUCAGUACGAACGCUGGCGGCAGGCUUAACACAUGCAAGUCGAGCGCCCCGCAAGGGGAGCGGCAGACGGGAGAGUAACACGUGGGAACAUACCUUUUGGUUCGGAACAACUGAGGGAAACUUCAGCUAAUACCGGAUAAGCCCUUACGGGGAAAGAUUUAUCGCCGAAAGAUUGGCCCGCGUCUGAUUAGCUAGUUGGUGAGGUAACGGCUCACCAAGGCGACGAUCCAUAGCUGGUCUGAGAGGAUGAUCAGCCACAUUGGGACUGAGACACGGCCCAAACUCCUACGGGAGGCAGCAGUGGGGAAUAUUGGACAAUGGGGGCAACCCUGAUCCAGCAAUGCCGCGUGAGUGAUGAAGGCCUUAGGGUUGUAAAGCUCUUUUGGCGGGGACGAUAAUGACGGUACCCGCAGAAUAAGCCCCGGCUAACUUCGUGCCAGCAGCCGCGGUAAUACGAAUCACUAGUGAAUUCGCGGCCGCCUGCAGGUCGACCAUAUGGGAGAGCUCCCAA
rnacentral:rRNA from 1 species